UACGGGGGGGGCAAGCGUUGUUCGGAAUUACUGGGCGUAAAGGGCUCGUAGGCGGCCAACUAAGUCAGACGUGAAAUCCCUCGGCUUAACCGGGGAACUGCGUCUGAUACUGGAUGGCUUGAGUUUGGGAGAGGGAUGCGGAAUUCCAGGUGUAGCGGUGAAAUGCGUAGAUAUCUGGAGGAACACCGGUGGCGAAGGCGGCAUCCUGGACCAACACUGACGCUGAGUGAGCGAAAGCCAGGGGAGGCAAACGGGG
rnacentral:rRNA from 1 species